UAUGAUGUAUGUCACAGUAUGAUCUGUCAAUCAUGUCAUUGUACAUGUACAAUGAGUAUCGGUAUCCAUGGUAUCUGAGACUCCUGUGGGGGCCGGCUGUAGCCGUGUAGGUAGGUAGUACUAUAAUUAUAGUACUAGCUGUCUCAAGACUCUCAACGGAAGUCAAGGCUGAUGUCGAGUAAUGAUCGAAAGACAAAAGUGUUUCCGUACAGAUAGAUCUACCCGUUGCCCCCAUCUACAUGUAUGCCGGGAGGGUAUAAAUACUCCGAAGCUGCAUUUAUUCCAGCAAUCAUUGUGAUCCGCAGCUAACGACCGUUCUUGUUUUGCCCAGUUCACGCCGCCAGGCCGAUAGUUAUCGACUUCUGUCUUCCGAAUCAGAGGCGAACAUAGUCCGGGUGGUAAUCAUGGUGAAUGCGUGGUGGAUAAUCCUUGUGGGUGUGCUGGCCGGCAUGUUCGCAGGCUACUGUCUCAUAGCGCCAAUCUUGCUUUGCUGUGUUGGAUUCGGUUGUGGAGGAGUUACGAAAGGAUCUUGUGCCGCUGGAUGUCAGUCGGCAAUCGGGAAUGUCGCGGAAGGAAGUUGCUUUGCCGAUGCUCAGUCGGAGGGUGCUGGUGGUUGCUGUAGUCCUCACUGCUGGAAUAUAUUCUGUCUUAUCGUCUUCGGAGUAACUGGUGGACUAGUUGGUGCGUAUGUUAACUUUAACUGACAAGCCCGUUCGGCACACUGAGAAAAUCCUGUGAUAAGCCAGCAUAGUGACAUAACCCACUGAGAAGUUGGCAUACUCGCGGAGGCAAACCAUGAGACGAACCCUGCACUGCGAGCUUAUUGAGCAUGGAUACAAUCAGUCUGUCAUGUACUGAGAUGUUUUGAAAGAACCUUCAGCUCAGUCCUAGUCUCACUUACUUUGCUACGUACACACACACACACACACACACACACACACACACACACACACACACACACACACACACACACACACACACACACACAUACACACACACACACACACACACACACAUACACACACGCACACAGUGACACACACACAUACACACAUACACACACGCACACACACACACACACACAUACACUCACGCAUACACACACACAUACGCACACACACACAUACACACACACAUACACACACACACACGCGCGCACGCACACACACACACACACACACACACACAUUGUACAUGUACAUUGUAAGCAAGUACCGGUAGUUGAGUGCAUCAAUGCUAGUGUAACAGUUGCCUCUUUUGCUCUUUGAGACGGUUUAUACCAGCUGCCCAUCAUUUCUAAUUUUAUUUCCACAAUUUCUUAUUACUACCAUUUUAUGAUCAUAAUAGCUGGUUUUAAAAAAUAGCUGUGCAUUGCGAAUCUUUUUUUCUUUUAAUCUUACUUCCUCCAUUUAUCUUUAGCUGGUUAGCAGUGACACGUAGGCAUAGGUGGCAUACAAUAUACAUGACUUUGAUCGGGUUUGGGCCUGACAAGGCGUUUUUCCUCUAGCCCGGUUGGUGGUCAUGAUUGGGAGUGUGAAGUUUGGUGUGUUCAGGCACUCCACCGCUGCACCAUCCUGCCCUGUGUGAGCCUGUCCUCUACUCUGUGAUUUGCCUAAGUAGUCGAGCAUUUAUGCACCUGUUACCCAUUGUCAUAAACACACGUAUUUAUUAUAUUAUUGGCUACAGUA